rnacentral:rRNA from 1 species
AUGUGAUGUCGUAAGGGAAAAUAAUGAUGUUACCUUACUAAUAGUGUCGUCCAAAACUGGUGCCAGAAGUCUCGGUAAGGCCAGAGACACGAAUGUUAAUCGUCUUAAAAAGGCGUAAAGGGUUAGUAGACAGUUUUUUAAGUAUUAAAUUAAAAAUAGCACACUAUAUUAAUUUAAUAUGAAUUAAAACUAGAAUCUUAUAGAGGAUAUUUACGAAAUUAUGCUUAGUUUAGGGCUAAAAUCCAGAAACAUUAAGUAGAGUUCCAAUGGCGUAAGCAUUUAUCCAAUAAAGAUUGACGUUGAGGAACGAAGGUGAGGAUAGGAAAUAGGAUUAGAGACCCAGGUACCCCUCUCAGUCAACGAUGAAUGGUAGUUUGAUAGUCAAACAGACUAGUGGCAAAGUUAACGCGUUAACCAUUCCGCCUUGUGAGUACGGUUGCAAAGCUGAAAACAAAUAAAUUAGUCGGUCUCGGAGCAAACGAAGUGGGAAGCAUGUUAA